CUGACCGAUAGUGAACCAGUACCGUGAGGGAAAGGCGAAAAGAACCCCGGCGAGGGGAGUGAAAAAGAACCUGAAACCGUGUACGUACAAGCAGUGGGAGCCUCUUUAUGGGGUGACUGCGUACCUUUUGUAUAAUGGGUCAGCGACUUAUAUUCUGUAGCAAGGUUAACCGAAUAGGGGAGCCGAAGGGAAACCGAGUCUUAACUGGGCGUUAAGUUGCAGGGUAUAGACCCGAAACCCGGUGAUCUAGCCAUGGGCAGGUUGAAGGUUGGGUAACACUAACUGGAGGACCGAACCGACUAAUGUUGAAAAAUUAGCGGAUGACUUGUGGCUGGGGGUGAAAGGCCAAUCAAACCGGGAGAUAGCUGGUUCUCCCCGAAAGCUAUUUAGGUAGCGCCUCGUGAAUUCAUCUCCGGGGGUAGAGCACUGUUUCGGCAAGGGGGUCAUCCCGACUUACCAACCCGAUGCAAACUGCGAAUACCGGAGAAUGUUAUCACGGGAGACACACGGCGGGUGCUAACGUCCGUCGUGAAGAGGGAAACAACCCAGACCGCCAGCUAAGGUCCCAAAGUCAUGGUUAAGUGGGAAACGAUGUGGGAAGGCCCAGACAGCCAGGAUGUUGGCUUAGAAGCAGCCAUCAUUUAAAGAAAGCGUAAUAGCUCACUGGUCGAGUCGGCCUGCGCGGAAGAUGUAACGGGGCUAAACCAUGCACCGAAGCUGCGGCAGCGACACUAUGUGUUGUUGGGUAGGGGAGCGUUCUGUAAGCCUGUGAAGGUGUACUGUGAGGUAUGCUGGAGGUAUCAGAAGUGCGAAUGCUGACAUAAGUAACGAUAAAGCGGGUGAAAAGCCCGCUCGCCGGAAGACCAAGGGUUCCUGUCCAACGUUAAUCGGGGCAGGGUGAGUCGACCCCUAAGGCGAGGCCGAAAGGCGUAGUCGAUGGGAAACAGGUUAAUAUUCCUGUACUUGGUGUUACUGCGAAGGGGGGACGGAGAAGGCUAUGUUGGCCGGGCGACGGUUGUCCCGGUUUAAGCGUGUAGGCUGGUUUUCCAGGCAAAUCCGGAAAAUCAAGGCUGAGGCGUGAUGACGAGGCACUACGGUGCUGAAGCAACAAAUGCCCUGCUUCCAGGAAAAGCCUCUAAGCAUCAGGUAACAUCAAAUCGUACCCCAAACCGACACAGGUGGUCAGGUAGAGAAUACCAAGGCGCUUGAGAGAACUCGGGUGAAGGAACUAGGCAAAAUGGUGCCGUAACUUCGGGAGAAGGCACGCUGAUAUGUAGGUGAAGUCCCUCGCGGAUGGAGCUGAAAUCAGUCGAAGAUACCAGCUGGCUGCAACUGUUUAUUAAAAACACAGCACUGUGCAAACACGAAAGUGGACGUAUACGGUGUGACGCCUGCCNCGACUUGCUCGUGGAGCUGAAAUCAGUCGAAGAUACCAGCUGGCUGCAACUGUUUAUUAAAAACACAGCACUGUGCAAACACGAAAGUGGACGUAUACGGUGUGACGCCUGCCCGGUGCCGGAAGGUUAAUUGAUGGGGUUAGCGGCAACGCGAAGCUCUUGAUCGAAGCCCCGGUAAACGGCGGCCGUAACUAUAACGGUCCUAAGGUAGCGAAAUUCCUUGUCGGGUAAGUUCCGACCUGCACGAAUGGCGUAAUGAUGGCCAGGCUGUCUCCACCCGAGACUCAGUGAAAUUGAACUCGCUGUGAAGAUGCAGUGUACCCGCGGCAAGACGGAAAGACCCCGUGAACCUUUACUAUAGCUUGACACUGAACAUUGAGCCUUGAUGUGUAGGAUAGGUGGGAGGCUUUGAAGUGUGGACGCCAGUCUGCAUGGAGCCGACCUUGAAAUACCACCCUUUAAUGUUUGAUGUUCUAACGUUGGCCCGUUAUCCGGGUUGCGGACAGUGUCUGGUGGGUAGUUUGACUGGGGCGGUCUCCUCCUAAAGAGUAACGGAGGAGCACGAAGGUUGGCUAAUCCUGGUCGGACAUCAGGANCUGAUCGGGGUUGCGGACAGUGUCUGGUGGGUAGUUUGACUGGGGCGGUCUCCUCCUAAAGAGUAACGGAGGAGCACGAAGGUUGGCUAAUCCUGGUCGGACAUCAGGAGGUUAGUGCAAUGGCAUAAGCCAGCUUGACUGCGAGCGUGACGGCGCGAGCAGGUGCGAAAGCAGGUCAUAGUGNAGGUUAGUGCAAUGGCAUAAGCCAGCUUGACUGCGAGCGUGACGGCGCGAGCAGGUGCGAAAGCAGGUCAUAGUGAUCCGGUGGUUCUGAAUGGAAGGGCCAUCGCUCAACGGAUAAAAGGUACUCCGGGGAUAACAGGCUGAUACCGCCCAAGAGUUCAUAUCGACGGCGGUGUUUGGCACCUCGAUGUCGGCUCAUCACAUCCUGGGGCUGAAGUAGGUCCCAAGGGUAUGGCUGUUCGCCAUUUAAAGUGGUACGCGAGCUGGGUUUAGAACGUCGUGAGACAGUUCGGUCCCUAUCUGCCGUGGGCGCUGGAGAACUGAGGGGGGCUGCUCCUAGUACGAGAGGACCGGAGUGGACGCAUCACUGGUGUUCGGGUUGUCAUGCCAAUGGCACUGCCCGGUAGCUAAAUGCGGAAGAGAUAAGUGCUGAAAGCAUCUAAGCACGAAACUUGCCCCGAGAUGAGUUCUCCCUGACUCCUUGAGAGUCCUGAAGGAACGUUGAAGACGACGACGUUGAUAGGCCGGGUGUGUAAGCGCAGCGAUGCGUUGAGCUAACCGGUACUAAUGAACCGUGAGGCUUAACCUU
rnacentral:rRNA from 1 species